UAUUGGACGGAAAUUAUAUAUCCUUGGCGCCGCCAGUGUAUGAGUUGUUAUCGCCCUGGAAGAUUUUCAAGUCACCUUAAAAAUGUUGGAUUUCAAACUUUCCGAAGUUAUUUAACUGAAGACGAAGGAUUCCAGACCGUGAAAUAAUAAAACCGUUCCGCUCCUGCCUGGAUCUCGUCCAUAUUCUGUUUCCUUUCGGAUCCGUUCUUAGUUAAGCGAGCGAGACACUACGCUACCACUUGACUCGAUAUUAUACCGAAGCAACUACCGUUUAUUAUUUUCGGAAAUUAGUUUUUGUACCGAAAUCAAGCAGCCGCGUGCGAAUUAUUUUGUAUCAACCUCUCGCGCCAGCGAGUAACUAAUCUAAGGCAAAUUGUAAAUCUGUUGUCUAUCUAAUAUUUUUGUUAUUUCAUAAUAAAGUUAUAUCGUAUUUUUAAAAUCGGUAUUUCACAAACUUUCUCGAACCUGACAAUCCGGCGAGCAAAUCCGGUAUACGCGAGAAAGUCCAACCGUUACAAUAUAUAUAUACAUACAUAUACAGACAGGCAUAAAUCACAUAAAAAUCAUAAAAACUUUAUUUAAAAACAUUUUUCUAUAUAUUUUGUUUCAACGAUUAGCAACAAUCUUUUAUAGUUUCGAUAUUUGCCUGGAAAAGAAAAAACCGAUUUUUUUCGAAAGGGUGUUUCACCCACUCAAAGUAGAAGUUAGCAGAAAUGAAAAAUAGUUCCCUAUUAGGAACGAACUAUUCUACUUACAUAUAAUUUUUCAGAAUUUUCUGAAUUUCCGAGUUGGCUAACUUUCCUUAUUAGGAAAAACAGAACUUUCCAAGGUGUGCGACUACAAGUGGCUGUACAAAAAACCGAUCAUCGCCAUACUCCACGAAGUUAUCUUUUGCCAGCAAGAAUUUCACGAUCGCCAUUAAAGUCAAUAAAACUGUUCGCACCUCAUCGGGUAACAAACAAUUUCUUGUUACUAUUGAACUAAGAAGACCUAAAUCAACUGUUUUUAUAUUGAAACAAACUUGUCCGCUUUCACUAUUUCAUCCAAACAUCGACUCCUUGUUUCAUGGCACUCAGUGUUCCAGAACACAUACCAACUCCGAUUUACAUCGGAGUUGGUAUGUGUUUAUAUAUUGAUUGACAGUAAGAUUGACAUAUCGUAACAGUGCGGACGAUUGAACAACUACCGUUCGAUGUUCUAACAAUAUUAAUUUUGCAAAUUUCUGAGCCGAACUUAAAGGAUGACUUUGAACACAUGCACGUAUCGCGAUAAAUCAUGAAUCACUCGUCGUUCCAUGUAAAUAAAGCAGAUUGUGUUUGCAGUCGAUUCAUAUUUUUGCAUACUUCAUGAAGCUUACGACUGUCUAGUUUUUAUCUCUUUGCAAUUUCCUGCUUUAGUCUAAGUUGACGGAAAAAUCGCAGAAAUUUACAAAUUUUUUGCGUUUUUUCCCUUUUAUUUUUUAUUCUUAUUUAUUACGUUCAAUUAAGUUUAUAUUUCUUUAUGUCUAUUUUCAAAUCUUUUGUAAAUAUAUUUUUUAGCGUCUAACAACUUAUUAAGCAAAUGUCGAUAGUGACAGCUAGUUUCGUUGAAAAGAACCGCCAUUACCACCUUAGUGCGCCUUUGGAUAAACAAUCCAUCGUAAUGAACUGUAUAUGAGAUAAAACACCUUGUAUAUACUGUGACGUGGUAGCUCAGCUGCCACGAGUAGCAGCGUUCCUCCCCCGUCACAGGCUGCGAUUUCGCGCCGUACGGGGAAAAUAGGCGAGAGGCGAGAGGGGAUCUCCAUGGGGAACCGCGACAGACCUAGCGAGCGUAGCAUUAAUUUCUUAUAUUUUUGAUUUCUUUGCGCGGCGGCCGUCUUCCGAUGGAAUGCGACGAGAGAGAGAGCGAGAGAGAGGAGGAGAGAGAGCGACGACGAUGCGGGGAAGGAGGAAGGACGCCACCGGUGCCCGGGAGAGAUGAGCACGCGGCCCGCACGGGGAUUCGGCGUGGCCCUGGGAGGGCCACGGCCGGAGCCUAAAGCGGCGGUGCCCGCCGACACCACAACGGAACGUCCCGGAGGGCUGUGGAGGAGCCCGGAUGGGACCAAACGCGUCGAGGGAGGCGUCGAGUCCUCUCACGAGGAACGGAGGUCUCCGCGUGCGCUGCCCCGGCUCGGGAAAUGGCCCAGCGGGAGAAAGAAUAUUUUGCGGGGGCCUGCGAGGCCCCCGGAAGGAUUACGGCGCGCACGUCCCUGCGUACGCAGGACUGCGUGCUUUGCAGCAAUUGGGUCGCGGCGCGGAAACAAUGCGCAUGACUGGACGGGGGGGUCGCGGCGUCGAUCCGGGAUCGACCGCGAUCCACCCCGCUUUUGCGUGCGAGCGGUCUGAGAAGGAAGGUCGCGUGUCGUGCCCCGGAGGGCGAGUUAUCGGUGUGGCGAGCGAGAGGCCAUCGCGAGAGCCGAGGACGAGCCGAGCGACGAGGGAGGACGCCUUGGACCUUAUCGGUGAGGUGGUCUGCCGAGAUAAGUGAUUGUGAGCGGUUGUCGGCCGGCGAGGGGUCCCCUGGCCCGUUCUGCAUCCGUUUUGGUGUUGGUGCGUGAGUCGCGCGGGCCGCAGGGCGGCCGUCCGUUCGCGUAAGUAAUUGGGAGAUAUAUCGGAUGCAAGCGGGCGGGACGCCGAAGCGCCGAGCCACGGGGAGGACGAUUGUAAGGACGCGUGGGUUCCGUCGGAGAUUCCCCUCGACCGCGUACGCCGCAGAGCCCUCGCGCGAGCGAGUAUCGCGUCGCGAGUAGCGGGUGGACGGGACUUCCGGUUUCGCGACGGUGUGUAGUGCGGUAGCGGCCGGCGAUUAUUGUGUGACCCCCGCGAGACACGCGGUCGCGUUCUCUAGUUGCCGGGAGUGUCGGCACGUUCGAACGUCCGAAAUUCAUGUGCGCGGAAGAUCCCAUCGUCUGUCCUUGUCGGCCGCGUGCCUACCGCGAGAGCUUCCCGCGUAUCGUUAGCGUCUCUGUUUGGUUUGAUUCGCGCCGGGGCGCCGCCUUGUCGGAACGCCGCAUGCCGCGUCCCGCGAUAUUAUUGUUCUGUCUGACUAUUAAUCUCAAUAAAGUUCGUUACUUG